GUGGUGGCGCCAUCAGGGAGCCCUGAGGCCAUACUCACGCUCUCAUGGGUCAGCUCAGUCCCUGCAGGGGAGGGGGGCAGCCCCAGCAAGCCCAUGUGGCACGGGCGCAACCCUGCACAGCGAGGGCCUCCAAGUGCACAUCCUGACCCACCUGCCGGUGACGCGUUGCAGUCAGGGCUGCCACAGCCCCGAGGGCGAGUGGAGAGGCCCCCGUUGUCACAUCCACGCCUGGGCCCCCACGGAAGUCCCCCUACCGCCAGGACGCCGAAGGCCACCUGCAGAGGCCGUGGGGGCACAUCCUGCUGCCCGCUGGCGGUCGCCCCUCCCAGCCUCCACCAUCACCCCGCCGCCUCACUGGGCCCUCAUCUGGCUGCUCGGGCUCCAUCCACUGUCUGUGCCCUGGGUGACGACGGUCCCCUCGUCCUCGGCCCCUGCCUGGCUCCCUCUCCCGCGUUCCCCAUGGGCUCCGCGGCCACUGCAGGUAAACCUCACCUUCCAUCCGGCACGGGUGUCCACCUCCUGGCCUUUCCUGGGGCCCACGACCUGGACAACCUGCUUGCAUCGCACCACGGCCCCGCUCGCCCUCAGCGGCAGCUCCUCCCUCAGGGGUGGGCCCCCUCCACCCCUGCAUCCUCCUGCCUCCCGCCCGGACCUCCCACACCGGAGCUCCUGCCUCGCAGCCCUGGAGCAAGUUCCCACCCGUUGGGCUCAGGCUUCCCUGCAGCGACCCCACGGAGAGGGCAGGGAGGGGGACAGCCCCUCCCAGGCCCGGGACGGGGGUGGGGUGCAGCGCGGCCGCCAGAGCCGACACCUCGGGGCCGACAUUUGCUCCAACGCUGUCGUGGGUGCAUCUGGGAGGCGUUUCGGGGGGAUGAACUCCUGCUUUGGUGCCUGCGUGACGCGGACCACCCUCCCCGGUGUGGCGGGGCCUGGCCCACGAAGCCAGAGGGGGACACGGAAGCAGAAGGAGUGGCGAUCCGCUCUCCCACCUGCCUGCUUAGAGCUGGGGCAGCGGCCUGGGCCCCCUGCCUGCAGACAGCGGAUCCGGGGACCUGCGGCUUCCACAGUCCAGAGCCGAUUCCUGUAAACUCCUCAGGUGGAGGCCAGGCCUCCG
rnacentral:lncRNA from 1 species